rnacentral:rRNA from 1 species
AUACGUAGGGGGCGAGCGUUGUCCGGAAUGAUUGGGCGUAAAGCGAGCGCAGGCGGUUUCUUAAGUCUGAUGUGAAAGCCCCCGGCUCAACCGGGGAGGGUCAUUGGAAACUGGGAGACUUGAGUGCAGAAGAGGAGCGUGGAAUUCCAUGUGUAGCGGUGAAAUGCGUAGAUAUAUGGAGGAACACCAGUGGCGAAGGCGACUCUCUGGUCUGUAACUGACGCUGAGGCUCGAAAGCGUGGGGAGCAAACAGGAUUAGAUACCCUGGUAGUCCACGCCGUAAACGAUGAGUGCUAAGUGUUGGAGGGUUUCCGCCCUUCAGUGCUGCAGCUAACGCAUUAAGCACUCCGCCUGGGGAGUACGACCGCAAGGUUGAAACUCAAAUGAAUUGACGGGG